rnacentral:rRNA from 1 species
UACGGGGGGGGCAAGCGUUGUUCGGAAUUACUGGGCGUAAAGGGCUCGUAGGUUGCCAACUAAGUCAGACGUGAAAUCCCUCGGCUUAACCGGGGAACUGCGUCUGAUACUGGAUGGCUUGAGUUCGGGAGAGGGAUGCGGAAUUCCAGGUGUAGCGGUGAAAUGCGUAGAUAUCUGGAGGAACACCGGUGGUGAAGGCGGCAUCCUGGACCGAUACUGACACUGAGGAGCGAAAGCCAGGGGAGCAAACGGG